rnacentral:lncRNA from 10 species
UAAAAGAGAGUGAAGAAAUGAGGCCAACCAGAUGCAGUGUACAGACUUGGGCCACAGUGGGGGAGGUGACAGCAGACGGUUUGGUGGGAAGGAACGCACCAGAGCCCCAUGGGCCUGCCUGGCCAGCUCGCUUGGUCAUCCUGGUAAAACAGCAGAGCUCUCUGUUCCAAGAGGCCCACGCGCAGCCCCACAUGCCUGCUGAUCUGUGUACACACGUGUGUGCACUCUAGCAAGCCUCACUUUAAUUGUGAAGAAACAUGGGAACCGGUGCUCCCACCCGGGCUGUGGGAGUGUGGUGCGGUGGGGCCUGGACACGGGGAGGGUCCGAAGUGGGGCCAGCUCCCUGGAGUCAGGCAUGUCUGUCUCAAGCUGCCCCUGUCCCUUGCUGAAUGGGAACCCCCACCAGCUGCCUCGGGAGCCCGUGUCCUUACACUCUAUUCGGAUCUGCUCCAGCUCCGUCACCUCAGCAAUGGACUCCUUCAGGUCCUCCACGAACUUCUGCAUCUCGUCCGAGCCCAGGGCACAGAAAUGCAGCACCUGCUUCUUCUCGGAGCCCGAGAGCGGGGUCACCAGUGUGAUGCCAUGAGAGUAAUCUGGAAAGCAGACCCCAGGCCCCCAGUGGGCUGUGAGCAGCAGCAGCCGAGGGCCAGAGCCAGCCAGACAUGAGGAGGGCACGGGGUCUCAUGCCUCCACCCACUCUGCUGUCCAGCCCUUCUCCCUCAACUCGCCCCAGCCAUUUCAUCCAUUCAUUCCUUCUCAAAGACUUACACUGGCUGUCAAAGACUUACACUCGUUCUCAAAGAGCUGGAACUGCAUGCCCAGCAGGCCAACUGACUUGCAAAAGGUGUACGUGGAGGAGCUCUUCUUCUUCGGGCAAAGUUUGAGAAUCUGUUCAGGAGAGGGAAACAGGCAUGCCCUGAUGAACAGACACUCACGGACACAUGGAUGCACAAACACCCGGGGGAUGCACGAUCACACAAACCCACGCAGUGAUGAAUGUGCACAUACAGCUUCUGUGAGCUGAGCCCUGGAGAUACAGGAGAACUCAGGACAGAGCCCCUGCCCUUAAGGUGCUUAUGGAAUGUGGAGUGUCACAGUGUC